UCACUCUUCCAUCAUCUCUUAUGGAGGAAAAAUUCUAGAAUGCAACAUGUAUAUUGGUGACGUGGCGUAACAAGUCAAUCAAAUGUCUCUCCAUUUAGGGGUAUAUGUUCCAUCAUGAUUGUAAAAAAAUAUUUUUAUUUUACUUUUGUUUGAAAAGAAGGAAUGUUAUUAGUUUGUUAUUUAUAACGUGGUGUAAGUGUCAUAGUGUAGAAUUCCUCCUUAAGGAGAUUAUACGUACGUUGUAAACAUCUUUUUCCGUAAUACUAGUCAUACAAAAAUCAUAUCAAACUACAAUAUAAAAUGACUACAUUUCAAUAUAUAUAUAUAUAUAUAUAUAUAUAUGAGCUAGUCUCCUAUACUAUUUAUAGUACCGGGGCUCCGGUACUAUAGUCUCAUUUUCGAUCUUAGGGUAUUCAAAUCAACGAUCCACACCGUUAAAACUGAUUUAGGGUAUUUAAAGUUUUUAGAAAUAAAAUUUUAUAUUUUUUCGACAUAUUUUACUUUAUGAUCAAACCAUUUUAAAAUUGUCAAUUUUCAAUGGCUACUAUGACGAGUUUGGAGUUUAAUGGUGUAGAAGAAUUCAAAUUUCAAAUUUUGAUAAAAAAUACUUUAAACUAUUAGAUUAAGAUUAACAUUCUUGAUCUUGAAUUUAAAAGUCCUGUACUCAAAUUUUAAAGAUUAUUUAAUUUUCACUGUCCAUUUUGACAUAAUUUAUUUACUAAGUAAACGAUGUCGAAAAAAACUAAAAUUUUAUUCCUAAGAACUUCAUAUACCCUAGAUUAUAUUUAACUGUGUGGAUCGUUAAUUUGAACACCCUAAGAUCGAAAACAAGACUAUAGUACCGGAACUCUGGUACUAUAGAUAGCAUAGUAGCCUUAUUAUAUAUAUAUAUAUAGAGUUGUGCUGGUAUGCUUAUGGAAGCACGGAGGCCUCCGUGCUUCCAAGUCGUUUUCGAUGUUCGGAUUUUCGAAUCGACGAUCGGCUCCGUUAGACUUGAUCUAGAGUAUUUGAAGUACCUAGGAAAUAAAUUUUGCGAUUUUUCGUUAUCAUUUGCCUAGUGAUCGAAGGGGCUCAAAAUCAAUAAUUUUAACGGCCGUGGUGAGCCAUUUGCAAGUUUAACGGUGUAGAAAUAUCCAAAUCACGUGAAAUUUUGACAGAAAAUUUUUUAUACUAUAUAAAAUAAGAUUAAUAUUUUUGAUCUAAAUUUUUAAUGUCAUAUCAUCACAUUUUGUGAGAUUUUUAUUUUCAGCCGUUGAUUUUGAGCCCUUCGAUCACUAGGCUAAUGAUAUCGAAAAUCACAAAUUCUAGUUACUUCAAAUACUCUAGAUCAAGUCUAACGAAGCCGAUCGUCGAUUCGAAAGUCCCAACAUCAAAAACAACUUGGAAGUACGAAGGCCUCCAUGCUUCCAUAAGCAUACUAGCCGCACUCUACAUAUAUAUAUAUAUAUAUAUAUAUAUAUAU
rnacentral:lncRNA from 1 species